rnacentral:rRNA from 1 species
UACCAGCUCUCCGAGUGGUAGGGAUGUUUAUUGGGCUUAAAGCGUCCGUAGCCGGCUUAGCAAGUCUCCUGUUAAAUUCAGCGACCUAAUCGUUGAGCCGCGAGAGAUACUACUAGGCUAGGAGGCGGGAGAGGUCAACGGUACUUCCGGGGUAGGGGUGAAUCCUAUAAUCCCGGGAGGACCACCAGUGGCGAAGGCUGUUGACUAGAACGCGCUCGACGGUGAGGGACGAAAGCUGGGGGAGCGAACCGGAUUAGAUACCCGGGUAGUCCCAGCUGUAAACGAUGCGAGCUAGGUGUUGGGGUGGCUACGUGCCACUUCAGUGCCGCAGGGGAAGCCAUUAAGCUCGCCGCCUGGGGGAGUACGGCCGCAAGGCUGAAAACUUAAGGAACUGGCGGGGAGCACCACAAGGCGUGAAGCUUGCGGUUC